rnacentral:rRNA from 1 species
UACGUAGUGCGCGAACGUUAUUCGGAAUCACUGGGCUUAAAGGGUGCGCAGGCGGCUUCCAAAGCCCGAAGUGAAAGGUCCCGGCCCAACCGGGGACGUGCUUCGGGGACUUGGAGGCUCGGGCGAGCUAGGGGUCCGUGGAACUCCCGGUGGAGCGGUGAAAUGUGUUGAGAUCGGGAGGAACGCCGGUGGCGAAGGCGGCGGACUGGGGCUUUGCCGACGCUCAGGCACGAAAGCCAGAGGAGCGAACGGG